AAGUCGUAACAAGGUCUCCGUUGGUGAACCAGCGGAGGGAUCAUUACGAGAGUGUCACCACUCCCAACCCAUUGUUUACCUACCCGUCCACCGUGCUUCGGCAGGCAGCCCUGUGGGACAGAGCCUCGCCCCCCUCGCGGGGGGUGCCUGCCGCUGGCCAACCACAAACUCUUGUUAUUUUAGUACCAUCUGAGUCUUCCACAAAUGAACAAAACUUUCAACAACGGAUCUCUUGGUUCUG
rnacentral:misc_RNA from 1 species